CAAAACCUUUCACGUGUAUGUUGUCAAUUCUUUACAUUUCAAAAAGGUAAAAGUAUUAGUUUAGUUUUGGACAUUUGAAAAAUAUUGCAUAUAUCAGCAGGCCAAGAUUAGGGGAGAUAUGAGAGGGGUCCCAAAAAAACCAUAUUACUAUUUUAAUUAAAUAUUUGAGAAACUUUUUUAUCUUGCCUAUUUAUUUUUUAUAUGGUCCCCAGUCCUCCACAGCUCAUUAUCCGGGUCUCAUUACCGAUAUG